GAUGAACGCUGGCGGCGUGCCUAAUACAUGCAAGUCGAGCGAAUGGAUUAAGAGCUUGCUCUUAUGAAGUUAGCGGCGGACGGGUGAGUAACACGUGGGUAACCUGCCCAUAAGACUGGGAUAACUCCGGGAAACCGGGGCUAAUACCGGAUAACAUUUUGAACCGCAUGGUUCGAAAUUGAAAGGCGGCUUCGGCUGUCACUUAUGGAUGGACGCGCGUCGCAUUAGCUAGUUGGUGAGGUAACGGCUCACAAAGGCAACGAUGCGUAGCCGACCUGCGAGGGUGAUCGGCCACACUGGGACGGAGACACGGCCCAGACUCCUACGGGAGGCAGCAGUAGGGAAUCUUCCGCAAUGGACGAAAGUCUGACGGAGCAACGCCGCGUGAGUGAUGAAGGCUUUCGGGUCGUAAAACUCUGUUGUUAGGGAAGAACAAGUGCUAGUUGAAUAAGCUGGCACCUUGACGGUACCUAACCAGAAGGCCACGGCUAACUACGUGCCAGCCGCCCGCCGUAA
rnacentral:rRNA from 1 species